UUAUUACCGAGGUGGUCAAGUGGGUAAACCGGUGGGCUACAACUGCUAUAUAAACCCGCAGCCAAUCACCAGCUUAGAUCAGAAAAAAGUGCGAGGUUGAGAGGUUUUUUCACACACUAAAACACACACACACACACACACACACAAAACACCAUUUUUUCUUUUCGAGUUAUUUUUCUGUUGGUUCUUAAUUUUAUUUACUUUUUUCCCCUCUGUAACAUCCCGCUUCUCUAUAUCCCUUUCUGUUAAUUAUCUGUCUUUCAAAAAGAUUAUUUAUUCUGGUUUUUGGGUUUGGUUUUUUAUAUAAAUUCUGGGAGUUUUUAUAUAUGAAAUUUCAAGAACAUGUUUAAAAAGCGAACUUAGAGAAAAGAAUUUGGGUUUUUUGCGAAAGUAUAAGAAAGUCAGGUGUUUUCAGAAUAGAGAUCCAGUUUAUUUUUAUGUAUUUUUCUUAUUUUCAUCAUUCAUUUGUUCCGUAAAUCUUGUGUAACUUCUUCAUCUAUUUCAUCAACUAGAACAAGGG
rnacentral:lncRNA from 1 species